UACGUAGGGGGCAAGCGUUGUCCGGAUUUAUUGGGCGUAACGAGCGUGUAGGCGGCCCGACAGGUCCGUUGUGAAAACUCGAGGCUCAACCUCGAGACGCCGAUGGAAACCGUCUGGCUAGAGUCCGGAAGAGGAGAGUGGAAUUCCUGGUGUAGCGGUGAAAUGCGCAGAUAUCAGGAAGAACACCCGUGGCGAAGGCGGCGCUCUAGUACGGUACUGACGCUGAGACGCGAAAGCGUGGGGAGCGAACAGG
rnacentral:rRNA from 1 species